rnacentral:rRNA from 1 species
UGGGGAAUAUUGCACAAUGGGCGCAAGCCUGAUGCAGCCAUGCCGCGUGUAUGAAGAAGGCCUUCGGGUUGUAAAGUACUUUCAGCGGGGAGGAAGGCGAUAAGGUUAAUAACCUUGUCGAUUGACGUUACCCGCAGAAGAAGCACCGGCUAACUCCUUGCCAGCAGCCGCGGUAAUACGGAGGGUGCAAGCGUUAAUCGGAAUUACUGGGCGUAAAGCGCACGCAGGCGGUCUGUCAAGUCGGAUGUGAAAUCCCCGGGCUCAACCUGGGAACUGCAUUCGAAACUGGCAGGCUAGAGUCUUGUAGAGGGGGGUAGAAUUCCAGGUGUAGCGGUGAAAUGCGUAGAGAUCUGGAGGAAUACCGGUGGCGAAGGCGGCCCCCUGGACAAAGACUGACGCUCAGGUGCGAAAGCGUGGGGAGCAAACA